UCUGAGCUGUCAGCACAGUGCCCAACAUGGGGUUCGAACUCACAAACCGUGAGAUCAUGACCUGAGCCAAAGUCGGAUGCUCAACUGACUGAACUACCCAGGUGCCCUAGCAUUGUGGAAUAUCCUGUCUGACUUACCUUCCUUGAUGGGUCAUGGAGGUUGUGUAAGGACGAAACUUUUACACUGCUUGGGCUGCCAUAGUGAAAUACCACAGACUAAGUGGCUUAAACAACAGACAUUUAUCUCUCUUCAGUUCUCGAAACUAGGAAGUCCAAGCUCAAGGUUCCGGCAGAUUUGGUUCCUGGUGAGAGGCCUCUUCUUGAUGUGCAGACUUCUCACUGUGUCCUCAUGUGGCCGAAGGAACCUCAAUGAGCUCAUCCAAACCUAAUCACCUCCUGAGAGCCCCACCUCCAGAAUGGUGGCCUUCACAAAAUGAAAGGUGCAUAUGCCAGUGGAAGCAUAAGAUGAUCCAGGAAGUGCAGGAGGUAAUGUAGAACUUUGACUUUUAAAAGUCCUAUCCUUUUAAAAUACCCUUUUUCUCUUUGCAUGUUUUAUAAUGUACAUAAUAGAUCAGUACAAUAUUUUAUAUAUAAUAUACACAUGUAUAAUGUAUACACAUAUAUAAUCAAAAUUUGGAGUGUAUUUAACUUUUCAGGUAAGGGUUAUAUUAUUGAAAAAGUGUAGAAUACUCACUACAAGAAUCAUUAAGCCGCUGCCCCGUCACAGCCUUAUGCUUGAUUCUGGUCUAAAAAUAAACACCUAAGCAAUUUAAACAAAAUUUUCAAACGGCUGAAUGCAAGUUUGCCAUCCACUUUUUGAGGUUAACCACACAAAAAGUGUGUCACAUGUUUCAAAGCAUCAUUUAUUUUGGAGAAGCACAUUAUGAGGUAGACUCAUAUCAACUAUGAACACCAGAACACUCAGUGCAUAUAUUAAUAAACGGUUUAUUGAAACCUUAAAAUUGCUUGUAGGUAAGUAUGUAUGUAGAUAAAAUCACCCACAACUCUACGGUCAUCAGUGAAAACCUCAAAACAGUUCAGCCAAAAUGGUAAAAAGCCAAUAGACUUUUAGAAAGCCUUCCUAAUUCUGAAAUGAAGAUUUGUUAAGAUGUUUGUGGGAGGGAGGUAGUUUUAAUUUUAGAUUUUAGAAAUCAUUGAACUCAAUCAUUCACUUUCUGGCUAGCUUUCAAUGGAUGGGAGUAUCUUUAGUAGACAGUAUGUAGAAGAUACUAUAAAUCUUAUAGUUCCCACCGUGUCACAAUGAUGGUAUUGAAGCUGGACCAGCUAUAGAAUUUGGAAGCCCAGUGCAAAAAUGGGCUGCUUGUUCAAAAAGAGUUUUAAGAUGCCUCCGGCAGCAUUUAAGAUGACGCCGGCAUGGGGCUUUUCUCAGUGCAGGGCUCUGUAGGACUGCACUGGUUACACACCAUGGCAUGAAGCCAGCGCUGCAGCUGUGGGAGACCACCACCUUAGUUAUCUUUGUCCCUUGAGACCCUAGUGCUGGACGAGGCGUGUAGUGUGGAUUUGAAUGUUUGUUGAAUGAGAAAUUUUGAGUUUCGCGGUUUUCCAAAUCAGUGAGAAAUGCUUAAGUUUUCCUGACCCCGGGUCAGGAAAAGUCUUACUCUGAUGAAUAAGGUCUGUUCAUCAUCAUAAUAAGCGAUAGAUUUCUCUAUCUGCACAUCACAUUCUGGCUUCAUGAGAAUUUGAGGCCACAUAUGGCUAAGGUUCAUUUGAUUCAUACAACAAAUAAAUUAUUGAACAACUACUCUGUCAGAUCCUGUAUUGGGUACUGGGGAUACAAGAAAAGUAAGACAGUCCCUGCCCUCAAGGAGCUUACAGUCUAGUGUAAGAACUUAACAGUACCUCAGAGCCUAGUGAGAAACUUUCUGGUGUCUAGGUUAUUAUCUGGAAUAUUUCCAACUUUCCUAAAAAUAUGAAUCCAAAGUUAACAGCACAUUUUGGAAAUGAAAGAUGAAAUGAAAUUCAGAAGAAAAUUCAAAUAUUCAACCAUUAAUGUAAAAACCAUGAAAUGAAAAUGAGGAAGAAACUUAGGAAAGGUGAAAAUUCUAUUUUAAAUACUAUGAACAAGAUUUAAAUUUUAAAAUUAUUUUAUUGUCUCUGGGUGACAUUUUCAUUUAUAGUGACGUUCAUAUACACAUACAUAUACGAGGUGUGCAUAUGUGAGAUGUGUUCCUUGGAGCCUUAGAUAAAUCCCAUAUUUCCAUUAUUAAUUCAUUUACAACUAAAGCAGCAUACAGGUAAAUUUGAAACGUUCCUUUUGAUAAUUUCUGUUAUUUGGGAGAAAUCCUUGGGAAUCAUCCUAAAGAUGUAUAAAUUUCGGUAUGAUCUUACUCUGCAAUGAGACUAAAACUAUCACAAUGUGUGAUAAUUUAAAUAUGUAUUUUUAAUGGUUAUUGACAAAGUUUAAUGGCAUCAAAAAUACUCAAGUCUAUGUGGAUUUUAUUUUCAUUGUUCCCCCACCCCGGAUUCUUUUUUUCCUUAAAAGCACGAAGGAUCCCUGUGCAAAUACAGAGCCUUUGUUGUUAAUUGGCUAUACUUUGGUACGUUGCUUAAUCUAUUCCUUAAUCUAGCAGCAUCCUUAGUUUAUAGUAUUUUACUUAGCGGCAACUGAGAAAAUAACUAGCCUAGGCUUUAACAGGGAACUUCUGUAAUCCAGAAGGUUAUUGUGAAUCUGUCAGAAAGCUGGUAAGCAACCAAAAGAGCUGUCUCAAAGACUGCACAACCAGGGCUUAUGCAGCUCUUUAGACACCAAGCAAGCUUGGUCAUCUCGUGUCCCAGCUCAUAACAGAUGAACACAGCACAUCAGACAGAGCCUGUGAGAGGCGGGCAUAUGGAUACUGUGGUAGGAGACAGAACAAACUACUUAGCAGAUAGAAAAAAUUUUUAAUGAAAAAAACACCAGCAACCGGAGGCAAAUGAUUAUAUACACCUCGGGGCUGAGGGAAUCACCUUAUAAUAAUUGAUACUAACUCAUAAUUUUAUAGCCCUUUACAUUUUAUGAAGUAUUUUACAUACAUCAGAGCUAAUUGGAUAUCUGUAAUAACACAUGAAUAUAACUUUUACUUUUCAUCAUGAAAAAGUAAAUUAUGCUGAGCAUGCUGUUUAAGAAGGCAGGAAGGUAUACUAACAUUAUUUGAAAGACUUACAUCAAAAAUAAUUAUAGGUUUAAAAUUUUGGCACUUAAGAGAUAUGCAUUAGUUAUCCAAAAAUUCAUAUACUGUAUAUGCUUUCUUUUAUGACCAACACAGGCUAUUACUGAGUGAAUUUUCAUAACUCUCCAUGGCUGCUGGUCAUUAAAUGGGGAUGAUUGUCAUCAGUAUUAUCAGACUAACACUUAUUCUCCUGCUAAACACAAGCUUUAACAGAUACUUACGGAUGCCAAUACCAUAUAGUCUGACUAAUGGCAGAAACAUAGGCUUCUAAAAGGUUCUCAGGGUGUUUUUCCUAUAUUGCACUUUCUAGAAAACAAAACUUUAACCAUGAUAUAAUGUGAUCUUGGUUCUAGACACAGGCGUGGGGAACCUUUUCCUUGCUUGUCUUCCUAAAAUUUUUGGUAUAGCCUCAUCUCGGAUGUAACAAGGAAAAAGAAAAUACACAUGUUCUUUGGGCUUCUGUGAAAAAAGAUCAUAUGUUUUCAAAAGAUUAAGAUAGGGGUCUCGUCUGCUUUAGCCACUUCAUUUUCAUAAUUAAAGAUAAGAAACUACUUAAUAUUUGAUGUUCCCAAACUUAUUCAACAACACUGCCAUUAACAUACUGUUGUGUAGAAAACUUUUUCAAGAUUUUUUUUUUAAGUGCAAUCAACCCCCACCAAGGUGGGGCUCAAACUCAUGACCCUAAGAUCACAAAUCGCAUGCUCCACCAACUGAGCCGGUCAGGUGCCCCUGUAGAAAGCUUUUUAAAACAAGUAUAAUUUACACUGUUUACCAACAAUUAUACCACAUUACCAAUUAUAAUACACUCACCAAUUAUCAUGAAUAAAAAUGACUAAAUUUAGUGAAAAACACCAGAUUGGAUUUUAUACUCUGAAGUGAAAUGAGAUCUUGAAAUUGUAAGCCGCAGUUUCCUCCAAGAGUCUAGCAUUCCUGAUGCCCUGUAAUUCCCAGAUUAAUAUCCCCCUCAUGACUUGUUGAUCACGACUGUUCCUCAAAGAGGACAAAGAUUGUUUUGUUGAGUUUGCUGGCUAAUUUUUAGUUCUCAUCCGUGGCUCUAUUUUUAUACAAGGCUGUUUACAUUUUCCUUUACUUCACAGCUACUUAACGUGCUUGCAGUUUUCCAGUUAGGAAUGGACUGUAUGUAUGUACGCCCUGCGUUUUAUGGUAUUAAUUCUAACGGAAAUUUCCAGUCUUGCAAAUGUUCUCUUACAUGGUGCAGAAGGUAAGCCAGCUCUGUAGUUUACCAGCCAGCUCAGGCUAGUUGCCCAUCCUUUACAAACAAAAGGGCAAAAUGGCAGAAUAGUAAGCAGGCUUUGGAUUAAAACAGACCCGGGUUUGAAUCCUAGCAUUGCCACCCGAUGCCAGCUCUGUGACUUAAGGGAAAUCACUUAACCUUUCUGACCCUCCAUUUCCUCCCAAGUCAGUUGGUGAUCAUGUCACCCACCUUGCAAGGUAUUUUGGGGGGUUGGUAGUAGAGUGUGGGCAUUACUUGACACAACAGAAACUCUAUAAUGGUUGAAGAAUCCUGGACUGAAAUUCAGAGCUGGGUGACAUGUGAGUCCAUGACAUGCAACUCUCUCCAAAAGAGAUGCAAUUUAUGGAACCUUUUUAAAAAAUUAACGUAAUUGUACUUAGUAGCUGACUCUUAAUGUUAACAUUGGGUGCUUUUGCCUCCAAAAUUUUAUUCUCCUUUAAAUAUGUAGGUGUGUUUUUUUUUUGUUUUGUUUUGUUUUAAAGUUUAUGGCAAACCUAUGUUUUCAUUGUACUUUGCGGUACUUUUCUUGCUGGCUAAAAAAUUCCAGUUAGUUUAACAUCCACGGUGAAAUGAUGUAAUUUUACAAUCUGUCCUAGAGACAACAUUGUUCCAAGUGAGAUGUAAGCUCCGUCCACUUGUGUACAUGGCUGUCUGGUGGGUCCUACAAAGAAAUGUCAGUUUUAUUCAUGUAUUUGGGUUGGUUUAGCAUUUCUAUAAGAUUUAAGAUACUUUUCUUCUUACGGCUGGAAUUCUCAGCAUCUACUUCCACACCUUUUUCAAUCUAUUGACCAGUUUAAGGGUAGUCACAGAAAUAGAACUUAAAGACAAAGUGUUCAUAAAUCAUUGACUUAACAGCCAGCAGAAUACAGUAGAAAUUGCCCUGAGCAAGGAGUUGGGAGACUUGAAUUCAAGUUCUGGCUCUGCCACUGAUUUUAUCAGAUGACUUUAGGCAAGUCACUUAACUUUUCUCAUUCAUCCAGUGAGAUCAAAUAAUGAGACUGACUGCAUGCAUUUUCUACCUCUAAAAUUGGUUUCAUCUACCUACAAUUUUAAUCAAAACACCUUUUGGGAGUCAAGCACCUGAGAGGUACAGAAAUACUAAUGUUUAAGGUAGUGCUUUGCAAACUCUGGCCCAGGGACCACCUAAAGAUUACUUGAGGUGCCUGUUAAAAAUAUAGACUCCUGUCCUCUCCCUGGCUGAAUCAGAACCUCCUACGAUAAGGGCCAGGUUUCUAUGUUCUGCACAAGCUCCUCAGUGAUUGUAAUGCACCCUGAUGUUUGAGAACCACUGGCCUAAGAGAAUGUGAUCUGAGAGGGAAAGAGCUAGCACGUGGCUUCAAUUGAUCCGGCCUCUGGCAGAUCCCUUCUAAACAGAAUACCACCCAAAGUGGAGACUAGAAGAAAGCUGCUUACUUCAGCAGAGCAGUCAGCCCUGUGACUGUCCCCUGCUUGAUCCUUUUUACUUGCUGUGUUCCAUAACCAAACACAGGAGGUCUUCGUGUCGGCUCUUUGCUUUGACAUCCAAGUUACUGACUACUGUAGUUAGAACAAGGCUUGAGAGGACUGCAGCGCCCGCUCCCCGACGCUAAGGGGGCUGAGCUUGUGCCACCGGGUUCAAGGAAUAAAGAGUAAAACACAACCUCUUUACUCUCAAUCCCCCCCAUCCCAAUACUAUAACUUGUCACCCUGUGUGAGUCCGACUGUCUGGCAGAGAAAACAGAAACUCUGAGCCACACUGUUCUCAUCGCUCUGUGACCAGGUAGUGUACUAACCUAAUGAAUCCUCUUUUAUGUAACAGAAAUGACCAAAGCCCAUUCCUUCUCUUUUCCUUUCUAAAUGUUUUUGACAGGAACAAAGUACCAAGUAAGGACACAUGCUAGAGAUUUUUAAAUUCGUACAAGUAAAUUACAAAGAGAGGUGGUAAUUAUUUUUUCCAGAAUUUCACAACAAAAUUCCCCUACGGUGAAAAAAUAUAUAUAAUUUAACAGGAAACUUAAAAGACAGUUUGUUGUAAGACUAACAGUUAUGAGAAUAAUGCCAUUAUCUGUGCUCAUUAUAGAGAAACAUAACAGCAACUUUAAAAGGCCAAAGUAUACUCAGUGAAGAUGGAAUUUCUUUUUCAAUGACCAGGAUGCUGACAUCAGACUUCUGGGUUUUAUUCAACACUAGUGCCACGGGUUUCUCCUAACCCAGCCCAAACUCCUGCCAGACGUCCACGAAAACUCACACCAAAAUCCAAAAAAAACAAGGAAAGAAAGAGAAACCUGACAAGAGCUACCAUGCAAAAGAAGCAGAACGGAAGUUCAGGCGGCACAGGUGAGCAGGAGCAGAGGAAUGCGGCAAAAGAUGCUGCUGCAGGGAGUCUACCUUGGCGAGGACCCUGCGAUGCUGGACGACCAAGUACCCAGGUCACAGGUGUGUUCAUGGACCCAUAAGAACUGGGAUCUUGACCCAAACUUUCAAGAUCUUCUGAAAAGAAAAUACUUCACCUGAAUUGAAGUAAUUCAUAAAUCAAACACCAGAAGAGUUCCUUAUUUGAUGUAAGUUGUGCCUAAAACUUUGGCUGAUACAAAGAAACCCGUCCACUAAGGCACCCUGAGGCAAUCUGACAAUGUGUUGGAGAGAACUUUGUUGUCAGUACCACAUCAUUAUGAGAGUACAGAGAACGGAUCACCCGCAGGGGACUGGCUUCUUUGGGCAAACAGUCAAUAAGUUCACUGCACUGUUUGUCAAAUCCCAACAAGCGAAUCCCGUAGCCGUGUGGGGAAGAAAUCAUCCGCCCAUCAGGGCUGAAGCAAAGUUCUUUGAUAUAACCCCUGCCUACGUUGGCUUCUUCAAUGUAAUGAGUUAGUCGUAGAGAACAGCGAGGGGAGACAGGUCGCACGGGAGCUCCUUCUUGGAAUUCAUAGACACAAGUCCACUGGGGGAGAGAAGAGAAACAAACCAAAGUUACAGAGCCCCAAAUAAUGCUAGCUAUUUCUUUUUGUAAAAAGCUCAAAAGACUGCCGAAUUCACAAAAUCUUGGCAAGAAAUCAUUCAGAUGAGUGUACUGCUCUCCCAGUUAAAAAAUGUGCAGGCCCCAUUCCUUCUUAUCGUCAUAAGCGAAGUCAUAUGGCAUGUUAAGGCCUGUUAUUCCCUCAGGCUGCUGGGACUUCUGUGGUAAUAAUUCCCUUUUGUGAGAGUAACAACAAUCUCUUGAUAUUUAAAAAAUGACACAGUUUAGACACCUAAGCCCUAAAAUAUAAAAUACAUCUCGUCCUACACACUUCGAAGGCUCUUAUCCUUUCAUUCAGUUGUGACUUCCUCAAAAGACUCCUGCUUUCCAGAGAGUCAUGAGGUCCUAGAAGGUCUUUUCCCUUAGUCAUCGGUUUAGUCCUUUCCCAGUUUCCCCUGGUUUUUAAAAAGAGCAAAUUAUAAUACUCAAUUGACUUAGCAAAACCUUGUAUUUAGCUAGCUUGGCUACCUUAGUAGUCUCCUUCUAAGGUUUCCUAUGUAAGAGGAUCUGUGACGAGAUGAAGGGGGCAAGGAUUCAGAAGCUGGGCACAGUCUGAGCUGAUACUGCUUUAAAGUAUUUCCCAGUCUGCCACAGACACUGGAGAGGAGGAGAGAGGGGUUCAAGGUACAAACACACCAUGAGCACACACGGCCGUGACUGUUCGCUCAGGCAGCCCCACUGGAAGGUGGCGUGCUGCCGCUCCUACCUCCUGGUCGUCAGUGUUGCUUGAGCACCGAAGGAGUGUGGCCCAGCCUUUCGGGUGCAGCUGUAAGGAUGUGAUGCAGUUUCCACGGUCUCUCUCACCAGGAACUUCUGGGGUUAAGACUUCAAGACUAUUUCGUGGUGAAACUCCUGAUAAGAAAAUUAGGAUGUGAGAUUUGUAUUAUCAAAGGACUGAGGCAGCCCAUCAAAGCUUUGAUUUCUGGCUGCCACCCCUGCCCCGGCCUUCAUUCCUUUGUCAGUCCCUUGUGCUACCACAUGUAAAAGAAAACAAAAACAAAACAAAACUAUGGUGCCCCUCAGUGUAUGGGGAAAAGGUACGAGUAGAACUAAAGAAUCCAAGUUCCCGCAGCAGGAAUCAGUGACCUAAGACUAAGGCCUUAAAGCUGACUAGAGGUCCUUUUGAUUAGAAUCUACAUCUCAGAAAACUCUUUAAGAAUCAAAGUUAUGUCGGGGCACCUGGGUGGCUCAGUCGGUUGAGCAUCCGACUUCGGCUCAGGCCAUGAGCUCACGGUUUCUGAGUUCAAGCCCUGCGUCGGGCCCUGUGCUGACAGCUCAGAGCCUGGAGCCUGCUUCGGAUUCUGUGUCUCCCUCUCUCUGCCCUUCCCCCACUCACGCUCUGUCUCUCUCAAAGGUGAAUAAACGUUAAAAAGAGAAAAAAAAAUGUCAUAUGAAAGGAAUCUGGAAAAGUAAAAGGUAAUUCUCAUCCUCAGAGGAAGUGCUCUCUAGUCCAGAGAAGGAAAUAAUUGGAAGCUAUGAAGGCUGCCUUUAAUAUAAAUAAAAGGCUAUUAUGUGUGCAAGGAGCAGGACUUCCGGUCCCCAAGGACAAUACUCUAAACGACAAACAGACCUAUAAUUUUGGAGGUGAGGAAGGAUAUUUCACAUACAAGGGGCAGGGAGACCUCGCAGUCAUACAUAUGCCCCGCACUGUUAUGGCCCCUCACGUCCUUCUGCCCAGCGCCCAAUAAAAGUGACUGGUGCACUCAGUCAUUACUAACGGGAGUUCUGUCCUCUCCCUCAGGUAUGUGGAGAACCACUUUCAUAUACAUUAUAAAGAAAGCAGUUUAGAAAUUUAAUAUCAAGAGAAAUAUUUCCACACUUCUCUACCUGUGGAAGGAGUUGCUUCGAGGAUUAUGAGCUCCCUCUGUCAGACCCUUUGUAAAUUGUUUUUCAAAUGCGUUAUCUUCUUUAAAAGAUUCCCUUUAGAUUACUACAGCAUUGAUGGAAACCUGUGAAGCUCUAAAUUACAUUGUUACAACCAAACUAUACCCAAAUAAUGAUUUCACAUGUGACUGAACUUUAAUAACAAUUUUAGAGAAAAAUAGCUAUUCAAGAAUCAAUUUUGAAAAUCUAACGAAUGCAGAAAAGAAACCCAUCUAAAUAGGUAAGUAGUGGUUUUUGAGCUGUGCUCUUUGGAGGUUCCUCCAGAGCUGGCAAAAGGAGGGAACCACGUGGGGAAGGGGUAGGGAAGACUGGUCAAGGACCUCCUUAAUUUCACCAGAGUGUCUGCACUUUGUGCUACAAUCUACAGCAGAUUUCACGUCAAAAAUAGAGUUCUAGAGGUGCCUGGCUGGCUCGGUUGGUUACCAUCUGACUCUUGAUCUCGGGCUCCUGAGUUCAAGCCCAACGCUGGGUACAGAGAUCACUUUAAAAAAAGAAAAGUUCUAAUCCUGAAAUGAGUUUGAGAGCCUCCGUUCCAUAUAGCUACUGUGUCUUGCCAAAGUAUGGUGCUAACAUAUCCUGACGCCCUGAAGACGCAGGAUUGCCAACAUUCAGAGCACCCUUAUGUAUGAGCCCCACCUUCUUCUCUGUACUGUGUCUAGGCUCUCUGUACACCGUCUCUUCUCCAGUUGCCAACUUUAUAUCAUGAAACUGCUGUGUGGUUUGGUUUUUGGGGUUACCACUUCAACAAACAACCAUGUUAACUAUUCUUAAGUUUCUUUUUCUCAUGGAUGGUUCAAUCAAUAAAGAUUUUUCUCAGUGAUUAUUAAGAGCCUUAGCUUGUUUUCCAUAGCCACAGUAGAAGAACAGGUAGAACUGAUACAGUAAGUUUCAAAUCAAAGGAAAAAUAUUUCACAUCUGGGCAUAAAUCUCUAAAUUUAACAGGAAUUUUUAACCUUAAACAUCACAGUCUUGAAUAUGUGGAGAAAAGUAGAUAGGCUCUAGGUUUAGGAAGGGCUCUCAAACCAUUCUACAAACAAGUAGUCAUGCAAAAUAAUCAAGUAUGCAAUUAUCAAGCAUUACCAGGGAGGCUGCCCAGGGAAAACACAAAAUAGAGGUCUAAUGGAUAGUCCCUCCCCUAAAGGUCUAGAAAGAAGCCAUGCUCUUCUCCAAAAGGUGACCCAAAAUUACAAAAACAAAACCCCCACCUCACAUUUGGCCAUCGGUCCACAAGGAGGAGGACAAACAAAAAGUGCUGUAACAGCUUAGAUGUGAACUGGGAUGGAGAGGUAGGUGAAGUCUGCAUAGGUAGUAGAAAGCACUUCCCAUAGGGGGUGGAAAGAAUAGGCUAUAUAGCUAGUUCUGCCAGAGGGGUGGGAGAAAACUGGCAAAAGCAGAGUGGGGACAGACUGUAUCCCACAAUCCCUCUAAGGCUAUCAGGUGCUGCUCAGAUAAAGAAAUGGCAGAGCAAAAAGCCUACUGGGCUGGAACCAAGCAAUUUUCACAAGCACCUGACAAGUCACUACUUCAUAUUUAUACAGGACCAUAACAUGCAUAAUCUCAUUUAAUUGCCAUAAAAACUUUGAUUGCAAUCUACAUGUCCUACCUACUUUUUCUCCAAUUUAGACCAAACUAAGUCCAGUAAAUAAAACCAAAGCUCAAAUUCCAACAAAGAUUUAAGCCCAAGAUACUCAACCCUAGAGACUCUGGUUAUACUUUUGAAAAUGACUGAGGGACAGAGAAUAACCUCUUCUUUAUUGGCUUUUGUUUGUAUGGAUUAAAACUAAACUAAAGAAAGCUAUUUGGUAGAAUCUGUUGUAAAUUAUAAAAUCCAACUGUUAACCUACCUUCUCUUUGUGAGGCUCGUGACAUGUGUUUCUCAGAAGAUGAAUUAGAAUCACUAUGAUGACAAGGUGAACCAGAAACUCUAGGACCAGAUGAACCUGAAGUGGUCAGAUCUUGAAAAUA